GGUUAACGCUGGCGGCGUGCCUAACACAUGCAAGUCGAACGGUUCUAAGCGCGAGCUUAGGAUAGUGGCGAACGGGUGAGUAAAAAGGUAGGAAUCUACCCCUUGGACGGAGAUAGCUACUGGAAACGGUAGGUAAACUUCGAUAAGCCCGAGAGGGGAAAGUGGUGAGACAGCCGAGGGAUGAGCCUACUCUCCAUCAGGUAGUUGGUGAGAUAAAAGCUUACCAAGCCGAUGACGGAUAACCGGUGUGAGAGCAUGAACGGUCACAAGGGCACUGAGAGACGGGCCCUACUCCUACGGGAGGCAGCAGUGGGGAAUCUUGGACAAUGGGCGAAAGCCUGAUCCAGCGACGCCGCGUGGAGGAAGAAGUCCUUCGGGAUGUAACUUCUGAACUAGCCGAAUAAAAGGACCUGUGGACACACAGGAGAAGAAAGUAAGGCUAGGAAAGUCCCGGCUAACUACGUG
rnacentral:rRNA from 1 species